AACCAGACUCCUACGGGAGGCAGCAGUGGGGAAUAUUGCACAAUGGGGGAAACCCUGAUGCAGCGACGCCGCGUGAGUGAAGAAGUAUUUCGGUAUGUAAAGCUCUAUCAGCAGGGAAGAAAAUGACGGUACCUGACUAAGAAGCCCCGGCUAACUACGUGCCAGCAGCCGCGGUAAUACGUAGGGGGCAAGCGUUAUCCGGAUUUACUGGGUGUAAAGGGAGCGUAGACGGCAGUGCAAGUCCGGAGUGAAAGCCCGGGGCUCAACCCUGGGACUGCUCUGGAAACUGUAAAGCUGGAGUGCGGGAGGGGCAGGCGGAAUUCCUGGUGUAGCGGUGAAAUGCGUAGAUAUCAGGAGGAACACCGGCGGCGAAGGCGGCCUGCUGGACCGUAACUGACGUUGAGGCUCGAAAGCGUGGGGAGCAAACAGGAUUAGAUACCCCUGUA
rnacentral:rRNA from 1 species